GUCUUACCCUUAGCUGCGACGGCGAGAACUCUGUCGGCGGCCUCGCGAACGGCUCGGCCGCGUCGUGGGGUGGAAGAGGAAGCGGAGGAGUUGGCGGCGGCGGUGGAGGAGUCGGGUGCCGAGUUAAUGGAGACUUGGGUGAGGGCGUGGAGGAGCUUGGAGGAGUAGAGGUGCUGCUGGGCCUCGGACUUCCACUUGGCGUGGCUGUGGGCGGGUUCUUGGUGGUGGAGGUGGUCCUGCUUGGGCUGGAUUUUCUUCUUCUUUUUCCUUCUAGAAGAAUCCCGAGCUCGAUC
rnacentral:lncRNA from 1 species